AUGAGUGAUCUGCUCUCAGCACUUGUUAAGCAUUGUGCCAUGUGUAUGAAACUAGGCCAGGUGUUGUGUGCGAGGAGGGACCCAAGUGUUACUAAAACUAAAGUGGAAUCUCCCAACUCUGCUACCCAUGCACACAUGGUUGGAGCUGCAAGACCAGGUUUUCCUUCAUCCCUUACCCUGAAUUCCUGGAGUUGCCUCCUGCCUGGCCUUCCUGUUUCCAGCCUUGCCUCUUUAACAGCACGCUUCACAAAGCAGGAGCUCAGCAAAAAGGAGAAGUCAAAGAUGAUGGGGACCUCACCUCCAAGAUCUCAGAAUUUCGGGGAAUGUUUCAUAGCCAUCCAAAGUAAUGCAAAAGCACUCCUUCUGAAAAAAGGCUGGAGUACAGUGAGGCAAUCUCGGCUCACUGCAACCUCUGCCUCCUGGGUGAUUCUUAUGAUCUGGGAAGUUUGGCAAACACCGGAGUGGACCCGGUUAUGGAUCAAAAUAGAAAGGACCAUGCCACUGGAGACUGGAUCCUGACGUUUCUUGAGGGUCAUCGGAAUGUGUAUUUCUCACAAAUUCUUGAAGCCAAGGAACUAAUUCUAAACUUAUAUCUCAGACCUAUAUCCUACUAAUUCUCCCUAUCCCUUCUCUCUGCUUUCUUUUUCUAUCACC
rnacentral:lncRNA from 1 species